GACCAUGUGUUUAAGAAACUGUAGUAGACAGUGAUGUAAUUUGAGAGUGUUGCACUUGUACAUAAAGGGCCAAGCACAAAUGCUGGGUAAAGGCCACGUGGCCUAAGAGAAAGAACAGGGACUUGCAUUGACAAGAGUAAUAAAAGGGAAUUUGUGAAGCUGAUCCAAUUAGUAAUGCUUAGUGUGGUAGACUUCGACCUUUGUUUAACUACU
rnacentral:misc_RNA from 1 species